GACGAACGCUGGCGGCGUGCUUAACACAUGCCAGUCGAACGGAAAGGCCCUGCUUUUGUGGGGUGCUCGAGUGGCGAACGGGUGAGUAACACGUGAGUAACCUGCCCUUGACUUUGGGAUAACUUCAGGAAACUGGGGCUAAUACCGGAUAGGAGCUCCUGCUGCAUGGUGGGGGUUGGAAAGUUUCGGCGGUUGGGGAUGGACUCGCGGCUUAUCAGCUUGUUGGUGGGGUAGUGGCUUACCAAGGCUUUGACGGGUAGCCGGCCUGAGAGGGUGACCGGCCACAUUGGGACUGAGAUACGGCCCAGACUCCUACGGGAGGCAGCAGUGGGGAAUAUAGCACAAUGGGCGGAAGCCUGAUGCAGCAACGCCGCGUGCGGGAUGACGGCCUUCGGGUUGUAAACCGCUUUCGCCUGUGACGAAGCGUGAGUGGCGGUAAUGGGUAAAGAAGCACCGGCUAACUACGUG
rnacentral:rRNA from 1 species